CGGGAUUUUAUUUGUAGCAAUACCGAUAAAAUCUAGUGGCGGACGGGUGCGUAACACGUGAGCAAUCUGCCGGGAGGUGGGGGAUAGCUCGUCGAAGGGCGAAUUAAUACCGCAUAUGGCCAAGGAGGACAUCCUCUUGAAGCCAAAGUCGCAAGACGCUUCCUGAUGAGCUCGCGGCCUAUCAGCUAGUUGGUGAGGUAACGGCUCACCAAGGCAAUGACGGGUAGCUGGUCUGAGAGGACGACCAGCCACACUGGAACUGAGACACGGUCCAGACACCUACGGGUGGCAGCAGUCGAGAAUUUUUCACAAUGGGGGAAACCCUGAUGGAGCGACGCCGCGUGGAGGAUGAAGGUCUUCGGAUUGUAAACUCCUGUCAAAUGGGAACAAGAAAGUGAUAGUACCAUUAGAGGAAGAGACGGCUAACUCUGUGCCAGCAGCCGCGGUAAUACAGAGGUCUCAAGCGUUGUUCGGAUUCAUUGGGCGUAAAGGGUGCGCAGGCUGCGGGGUAAGUCGGAUGUGAAAUUUAGGGGCUCAACCUCUAAACUGCAUUCGAUACUGCUCUGCUAGAGGACUGUAGAGGAGAUUGGAAUUCACGGUGUAGCAGUGAAAUGCGUAGAUAUCGUGAGGAAGACCAGUGGCGAAGGCGAAUCUCUGGGCAGUUCCUGACGCUCAUGCACGAAGGCCAGGGGAGCAAACGGGAUUAGAUACCCCGGUAGUCCUGGGCAGUAAACGGUGCACGUUUGGUGUGGGAGGAUUCGACCCCUUCCGUGCCGGAGCU
rnacentral:rRNA from 1 species